rnacentral:rRNA from 1 species
UACGUAGGUGGCAAGCGUUGUCCGGAUUUACUGGGUGUAAAGGGCGUGUAGCCGGGUCGGCAAGUCAGAUGUGAAAUCUGGAGGCUCAACCUCCAAACUGCAUUUGAAACUGCCGGUCUUGAGUAUCGGAGAGGUAAUCGGAAUUCCUUGUGUAGCGGUGAAAUGCGUAGAUAUAAGGAAGAACACCAGUGGCGAAGGCGGAUUACUGGACGACAACUGACGGUGAGGCGCGAAAGCGUGGGGAGCAAACAGG